AAUGGUGCCAAUGGGGUUCUUUGUUGGAAAGUGGUCGAGCUUGAGGAAGCUUUAGGGUUAGGGGAGGUGGCAAUCAGAGCUGCUGAGGACAAGAUGGAGCUCAUUAAGAUAGUGACUAAGGAGUAGAAAGGAGAAGGCCAUCACUAAGGCCAAGCUUAAGAGCAUUGAGGAGUAUAAGGCCUCACAGGAGUUCAAAAAUGAAGUCGCUAAAGGCUCCAUAGUCACCUACGAGUAUGUCUUUAAUGCUUGCGAGGAGCAUUUGA
rnacentral:lncRNA from 1 species